rnacentral:rRNA from 1 species
UACCCCGAGGAAAAGAAAUCAACCGAGAUUCCCCCAGUAGCGGCGAGCGAACGGGGAGGAGCCCAGAGCCUGAAUCAGCAUGUGUGUUAGUGGAAGCGUCUGGAAAGGCGCGCGAUACAGGGUGACAGCCCCGUACACAAAAGCGCAUGUGCUGUGAGCUCGAUGAGUAGGGCGGGACACGUGGUAUCCUGUCUGAAUAUGGGGGGACCAUCCUCCAAGGCUAAAUACUCCUGACUGACCGAUAGUGAACCAGUACCGUGAGGGAAAGGCGAAAAGAACCCCGGCGAGGGGAGUGAAAAAGAACCUGA